GUUCCGGGCGGGAACAGCCGGUGCGUCACGCGGGCGGCCGGUCGCUUCUGUUCCGCAGAGUCAUUCAGGUUGGAAAAGCAGGAUCAGGAAGGCCAGCUGUCCAUUUAAGACUACAAGUGCACCGCUAAGCCAUGGCUUAGAAGAAACAUGCCCUAAUAUCCGACCUGAGCCUCCCCCGGUGCAGACCGCAGGAACGUGGUCCUUGGGGGACCGCAGAGCUUCGUGCACUGGAUUCUCACUGUGGGGAUGGAUGCAGGAGCAGCGUUGCCAGAGUGCAAACUUAUGGGCUUUUCGACCAAAGCCACGCAUCUGUAGUUGUCCUCUGUGAAGGGAAUUGAUGUUUACGUGGCUUCUUUGUUUACGCACUGCGAAAAGGUCUAAACAAACUGAAGUAAAAGACUGAAGUCUCUGAUGAGCUGGAUGUUACCUACCAGCAGAACUGAUCAAGGAGCGCUUGCCUGCAUCUCCAGAUCUUCUGGGUCACGUGUGGGAAGAGAAAGAACAGCCAGGAUUCAUUAAGAGCAGACAGAUUUCAUUGCAGAAGGUCAGACCAGAGGAAAAUGAGCAAAAACUUCUUCAUGAAGCAGGAUGAUGGAAGUGAACAUAUUACUGCAGCAGUGCAGAAGUCCUUACAGCCCUAUUCUCAACUGUGG